rnacentral:rRNA from 1 species
UUAGGAAUUUUCCGCAAUGGGCGAAAGCCUGACGGAGCAAUACCGCGUGAGUGAUGAAGACCUUCGGGUUGUAAAGCUCUGUCGGAGGGGAAGAAAAAUGACGGUACCCUCCAAGAAAGCCCCGGCUAACUACGUGCCAGCAGCCGCGGUAAUACGUAGGGGGCGAGCGUUAUCCGGAUUUACUGGGCGUAAAGCGCGUUAAGGCGGUUGGCAAAGUUGGUUGUGAAAUCUCAGGGCUCAACCCUGAAAUUGCGACCAAUACUGGUUGACUAGAGUGCAAGAGAGGAAGGUGGAAUUCCCGGUGUAGUAGUGAAAUGCGUAGAUAUCGGGAGGAACACCAGUGGCGAAGGCGGCCUUCUGGCUUGCAACUGACGCUGUAGCGCGAAAGCGUGGGGAGCGAACCG